GCAACAACCAGCCUCUGAUGACAUCACUAGAGGCGACCAAUCAGAGGCCUUCAGGUCACAUGAUGGAGGUUUUUGUGUCCACACAAUGAAAGAUUCAUAUGGAGGAAACUAGAAAGAACAAGAGACUCUGCAGCUGCAGCAGGAAUGAGAAGCAAAGAAUCUGGUUCAGCCUGUCAGUGGCGACGGGAUUAAAACUUUCUGCAGUUUUUGCUGUCAGGAGUUUCCAGUUGGACAUGGAGGUGAGAACGAUUCAUCUCAGCAGCUUCACUGAAGCUCAAUGGGUUUUUCAGCUACAAUGCAGCUUGAUGCUGCUUUAGUUUUUCAUUCUGGUUUGAAGUUUUGCUUUUAAAACAUCUUCUGUUCUCUGAGGCCACCAGCUGGAAACAUGGAAGGAGAAAAAUCUGAACAUUGUGUGGAUUAAAUCCCUGGUUUUAUUCCAGAAUGUUACAUGGAAUAACAGGAACAGGAUUAAAUCAUGUUCUGGUGGAUGAAACUCAAAUGUGAAGGAAAUCAGAACAGGAGCAGCAGGAGUUCAUCCUGCAGUCGGUGGGUUGCUGGUUCGAUUCCCGCCCUCAUCGUUUGUGUCCCUCCACAGUCGCUCCGUUUCCAUCAACUAUAAAAACUGAGAAAUGUAACGGAAUAAACCCACUGAGGGGUUUGGAUGAAAGUUUUAGCGGUAGGAUGAGGAGGUUUGUCAGCCAAUCGAAACUCUUUUUCACAUCACGAGUCACGUGAUCAACAGCCGGAUGUUACUGCUGGGCGGAAACCAGGAAGACGGCAGGAAGUGUUUGGAGGAUGAUGGUUUGUUUUAGUUUUUUCUGGCUCCUCCAGAGCUUCACAGCAUCAGGUGAGAAAAAGCUGAUCGUCGUUCCAACAUGUUGAAUCCACCGCUCUUCUGUCAAAAUACAAUUUCCCAAAACGCAGCACAGGUAGCCGCUCCACAGUAGGCGGGGCUUAUCGCUCCAAGGCCUGAACGAGACGCUGACGUCUCCUCUGAUUGGCUGAUAGAUGAUGAGCGCUAGCGCCACCAUGGCUGAGUUAUGAGUUUGAACUUUCCAUCCGUGUCUGCCAUGAAUAUUAAUGACUUUUCUCUGGAGAUAAAUUAUUCACAUGUGGUUUAAAUUUCAUUUCUUAUUUCAUGGAAACACUGCAACAGUGAAAUUGUGUUUUUUUGACAUUAGCAGAAAACAGACUGAGAUUUGCUGACAGUUGUCAUGGAAACCUCCCAGAGUGAUGAAGAGUCCUCCAGGCCUUCAUCGCCGCAGCUUGUUCUGGCUGCUGCUGCAGCACCCAGACACCAGCGGCCCUCGGGGGCCCGGCGGUGGCAGCAUCAUGCCGCCGCCUCUCUGUGUUUCCUGCAGGAGAAGGAAGGCGGCGUCCUGCCGUCCUGGAGGAUCUGCUGUUCUCCACCAUGGCAGAGGGACAGGAGGACGUCCCAGCGUGAGUCUCCAGAGGACGGACACGGAGACGCCGUCCGCCUCGCCGUCUCUGCCUUCAGGCUCUGAAAUCCACGGGGCGUCGGACCGGAGACCCUCGGCUCAAAGAGGUCAAGGAGACGCUGAAGGUCACCAUGGAGACGACCUCAGACGGAGCGCUGGACCGACUCCUCCAUCUCCAUCCGUGUCUGCCAUGAAUAUUAAUGACUUUUCUCUGGAGAUAAAUUAUUCACAUGUGGUUUAAAUUUCAUUUCUUAUUUCAUGGAAACACUGAAACAGUGAAAUUGUGUUUUUUUGACAUUAGCAGAAAACAAACUGAGAUUUGCUGACAGUUGUCAUGGAAACCUCCCAGAGUGAUGAAGACUCCUCCAGGCCUUCAUCGCCGCAGCUUAUUCUGGCUGCUGCUGCAGCACCCAGACACCAGCGGCCCUCGGGGGCCCGGCGGUGGCAGUCCGACGCCCCUGAAAUCCACGGGGCAUCGGACCGGAGACCCUCGGCUCAAAGAGGUCAAGGAGACGCUGAAGGUCACCAUGGAGACGACCUCAGACGGAGCGCUGGACCGACUCCUCCUCAAGAAUCGAACAACUUUAAAGAAAAGCAGGAAAACCUGGAGGAGGAACCUGAGCAGCGUUCUGACAGACCAAACACUGAGAGGAACCAGAGUUUGCAUCGUCAAAGUGACGACUGUGAAAUCAUCUGAAUCUUGUGACUCGUUUCCCAUCAAAUCCCAGACAGGAGAAGCAAAGCCUCACGUCUCCAACAUGAAGAUGGAACAGGAUGCAGGACUUCCACCGAGCGUCACGUCACUCACAGCAGAUCAGGAGUCUGGCUCUUCACCUCGACACUACCUCAAACCUGGGACAGCGAGGGGUUAAAGGUCAUCUCCAGCACCUUAAAUGUGCAACAUUUCACUUCAUAUGAGAGCGUCUCAGUUUAGAGGCCAAAACCAGCCAAGAAGCUUCAGAGUUUUCCUGCAACGUAGCGCUGGUCUAUUGGCCUCAGUGAGGCUGGUUUUACUGAAGAUGUGUUCAGGGCAGCAGGAAAAUUCAGCGCUAAUACGGACGAGACCAACGACUCCACCUAUGAUGAUGCUUGGAUAUGAGUUUAUAUGUUCAGAUCUACAUGAGAUGAAACAGUCGAUUUUCAUCACAUAUCAGCACAUUCUCCAUCGGUCACCCUGCCGUCUUUCUGGAUUUAUUCAUUAUUUACAUCAUCAAUGGAAAUUGUUCAACCAGAUGUUUAUCUUUAUUUUAAUUCAGAUCAAGUCAGCUUACAUUACUGUCGUUAAAUAAGAGUCACUGCAGGAUUUUAUUCAGUCUGACCAGAAAAAUCUUCCUGUAAGAGUUUAACACAGCAGCUGCAUUUUAUGAUUUUAAACUGUUUUUAUUACAUAUAUAACUCCAAACAGUUAAUAAAAAAUGAAAGGAUAAUAUGUGAGUCGG